CAGUUGCGAGUUAGUUUGGGCGUAGCAGGCAAGGCGUGCACAGAGAUAUAGUUGGCACCCAGUGUUUUGUAUAUUGAAAACUUCACUUUUUAAUUUCUCAUAUAAACCAGAUUGUCUUCACUUCACUUUUGAGGUCCAAAGUACAAGUAGACCAAAUACAGGGAAUGUUGUCAUUCGCACGUUAUACCUCUACCCGCCAAAGUUUGGGAGAAGACCAUAUGAUGUGGAAACAGAAACCAACUUUUUAUUUAAUGAACUGUAGUACACAAAAUUGUAAUCUGUAAAAGUGGAGAAAAAAUAUACAUAUAGUGUAAAGUGUUGUG